rnacentral:rRNA from 1 species
UACGAAGGGUGCAAGCGUUAAUCGGAAUUACUGGGCGUAAAGCGUGCGUAGGUGGUGAGUUAAGUCUGUCGUGAAAGCCCCGGGCUCAACCUGGGAAUGGCGAUGGAUACUGGCUCGCUAGAGUGCGGUAGAGGAGAGUGGAAUUCCCGGUGUAGCAGUGAAAUGCGUAGAGAUCGGGAGGAACAUCAGUUGCGAAGGCGGCUCUAUGGACCAGCACUGACACUGAGGCACGAAAGCGUGGGGAGCAAACAGG